UAAUACGGAGGUGGCAAGCGUUGUUCGGAUUCAUUGGGCGUAAAGGGCAUGUAGGUGGCUCUUUAAGUCGAUUGUGAAAUCCCUUGGCUUAACCAAGGAACUGCAACCGAUACUGAAGAGCUUGAGUGUAGGAGGGGAGAAUGGAAUUCCCGGUGUAAGAGUGAAAUCUGUAGAUAUCGGGAGGAACACCGGUGGCGAAGGCGAUUCUCUGGCCUACAACUGACACUGAAAUGCGAAAGCUAGGGGAGCAAACAGGAUUAGAUACCCUGGUAGUCCUAGCCGUAAACGAUGGACACUAGGUGUCGGGCAGCAAUGUUCGGUGCCGCAGUUAACACAUUAAGUGUCCCACCUGGGGACUACGGCCGCAAGGUUG
rnacentral:rRNA from 1 species